AAGCCACACUCAUGAGCAUGCAUAUAACCCUACACAUCCCAUGGCAACAAAUGUUCAUAACUUCACAUGGUUUGGUCCAGCAAUAGCAUGGUUAGUGCUUUAGAAUAUUGAAACAUACAAAGUAUCCAUUCAGUCUAAACACUAAACAUCGAGACGAGAACUUACCAACAAGAAAAAAGAAGAAUAGAGAAAAAUGAAAUUAAGGCAUCCAUUGAUACCAAAGGAAUAUCGAGAGACUCGACCUAGCCACUUGGAAACUCGAAAUGCAUCCCGCGCUGUACACACGAGAUAGUGAGGCACUGAACACCUCAGCCACUAUGGUAAAUAGUCAGGGUGAAAGGGGGCCCCCUUGGUGGAGCCCUCUCGAAGCAUGAAAGUAACCCUUAGAUGUGCCAUUAAUAAGGUCCGAAAAUUGGGGUUUUGAAAUACCCCCUUGGAUCUAUCUCCACCAUAGAGAGCCAAAUGGAAUUCUGGACAAAGUCUCAUCAAUAAUUUCCCAGUCCACAAGAUCAUAAGAUUUUUUAUUACCAAGCCAGAGAUUUUUGCACUACAACGGGAAUGUAUGCAUUCAUGUGCUAUUAGAGCCCCAUCGAGAAUCUGGCAUUCCUUCACAAAGGUCCGUUGGGAUGAUAAGAUCACCUGACUAAGGACACGUUUAAGGCGGGAAGCCAGGCCCUCAAGAGAAUUUUGUAGGAAGUAUUAAUCAGACUAGUCGAUAUGAUGUCUUUAAGCUCUUCUGCUCUCUCUUUCUUGAGGAUCUUGGUAAUUCAUCGCCUUAUUGAUAGUGGCUCGAGAGUGAAAUUCAGAAAAGAAAGCCAUGAUAUCAAUCCUAAGGGUAUCCCAAAAGACUUCGAAGAGGGCUAUGGGGAAGCUGUCAGGGCUGAGGGUCUGGUCUCCAUUGAGAUCUUUAAUGGCCUGGAGUACUUUGUCCUCUUAAAAAGGGCUUUUCAAAGAGGCUGCAGAUUCGAGAGAUAUAGAAGAGAAGGAGACGUUCGCCAUUUCUGACUUAGGACCAGAAGGGGAAGAGAAAAACUUGGAAAAAUAUUUGACAGCAGCUGCCUCAAUGAGAUUGGGAUGGUCAACAAUCUGGUCCCAUACCUUGAAGUGGGUAAUAGAGUUCUCCCUUCUUCAACAGUUGGCUAUCUUGUGGAAGUAAGCUGUAUGGGAGUCUUUUUGGUAUCAUAAGUUUCCAGGGAGCUGUGAACUCCAUGAUUUCAUGAAAAAUUUGAGCAUUUGAAGUUUUUUCUACAAGAUAAAACCGGCCCACCCAUUCACGAGGGGGGAGAAGGACUCCCAAUGGUUACAGACAAGAGAGGCGAAACCGGGCUCUUAGAGCCAAGACAACUCAAAGCGAAAAGGCUUAGGCCCUCGAGGAAGGGAUUGGGUAUGAAGUGGGCUUGGGAAGCACCAGAGAGUGGGUGCCAAGGAAUUCAUGAUCCCACUCGAGAGGGCUUAGAAAUCUAUCUAAUUUUGAGAGGCUUGGAUUAGUCGAAUGGCUAGACCAACGGAACUCCGCUCCUUCCAACAGGAUGUUUAGAAGACUGUUAUGAGCUAAGACAUCAGAGAACUGUACCAUUGAAGGGGCAGUUUUGUCGCGGGAAUUACGUUCAUGAGACCAUCUGGUGAUAUUAAAAUCACCUCCUACGCACCACUAAGAAAAUGGGAUGGUCAUCAAAGAUUGUAACUCUCUCAAUACGGCUAAUUUCUCGUUGUCUUCUUGUGGCCCAUAAAUCACAAUGCACUUCCAAUAGAGGAAAUCAGUGAUCCUAGCUAGGGUCACUAUGACAGAACUUGCCAAUAUGAGAGGCAACUAAGGCAUGUUGAGAUGGGACUCAGAUACCGCCAGAAGGUCCGAUUGCAUCCAG
rnacentral:lncRNA from 1 species